CUUGGGGAGCAUAGUGUCCAGGAAAGCACCUCCCCUCAGCUCUGAUGCAAUGGCACAAGUGUUCUGCCAGGAGGAAAGGCAGCCCAUAAGGACAAAGAGCUUCAGACCCGUGCUUGAGGACACAGACUUUACUGGAAGGGAGCCCGGAGAACUGCCUAAGGGUGUGUGGAAAACUACAGAGGCCUUGAUGUAGCGCAAUUAAGAGGAGCUUAGUAGUUCCAAGGUGCAGCAAAAUGACAGAACAACUGGGAGAGUAACAGAGAACCAUGGAAAGAGAGAAGAGCCUUCCCAAAAGCUCACUCAAGUCCAGGGGUCAGGAAGGCUGUGCACAUGUACCUGGCUGCUGGGGGCAAAACUGAAAACAUCCCCAGCCACGCAGAGGCCUUUUGAUGCAGGACAGAUGCCUCAUCAGCACAGAGGCCUUCAGCAGGUCCUCUGACCAAACACUGACCGAACAAUGAACUACAGUGAGGUGGGAUAAUGCCUAGGAAGCCAGGAUUGGAAAUAAAACCACACUCGUCUCCAGGAGCUGGGGAGAAGCCCAGCGAGUUUCAAUAGGACAGUUUCUACCUGCUGUGAUGCUAAAUGUGCCAAUUCCUUAUUUGCACGAGGAAGAAACCAGCUGGGAAUUUUGGAUACACAAGCUCCUUUUCCCCAUAUCCUUGAGGCUGCCAUGAGCCUUUUCACCACCUGACUCUCACCCUGAAGAGUGUGUUGCCACCUGCAAUAAAUGAACAACCUCAUUGCCUUUUCUGUGUGUCUUGUCUAAUUCUUUGUAUGCAGUGCCAAGAACCUUGAAAGAAAUCCUGCAGGACCCACCACUGGGCAAUUUUUGUACGUAUGGAGCCCCCAAAUGUAGCCUUAUUUGGAAGUAGGGCCUCUGAAGAUAUAAUUUGUUAAGAUGAAGUUAUAAGAUUAUUAUGGAUUUGGGCCAGGGAUUUAGCAAAAGCAAAAGGCCCUGAGUUGAAACCCCAGUACCAAAAAAAAAAAAAAAAGAUUAUUAUGAAUCCAUGCCUGGCAUAGUGGGACAUGCCUGCAAUCCCAGCACUUAGGACGCUGAGGCAGGAGAAUUGCAAAUUUGAGGCCAGACUGGGGCACUUAGUAAGAUCCUAUUUCAAAAUUUUUAAAUGUUAAAAGGGCUGAAGAUGUAGUUCAGAGAUACCACAGGCUGGGUUUGAGAGUCCCCAAGGCUGAAAUAAGGAAUCUAACCCACCCCUGUAACAGAGGUACGAAGGUUCGCUGACUCCCGUCUCAGAAAAAGAAUUUUCAGGCCUGGUCAGAAAAAGAGGAAUGAGAAGAGUUUAUUAGAGGGAGAAACAGGACACACUCAAAGGUGGACUGGGGGUGCUCAAGGAGGAGGCACGAUACAGGCCAGGGUAGGGCACACUGAAAGGCUGUCCUCAAUAUGCAUGGACUCAGAUGUGCACUCUCACAGUCUGCUAGGUUACAGUGCAAGCCCUCUACAUGGGUUUGGAGUGGAGAUAUGCGUGUGAAGUUAAGACAUGCCGUCCCCAGUGCAGCUGCUUUCUGGGCUGGAGGAAAGGGUAGUGUGCAGGUGAAAAGGGUCUUUAGGAAUUUAACACUAUUCUCUGUAAGGAUGGAGGAACAGAGUCACAUGCUAGGAUGGCCUCCAGGUGCAGGAAAAGAGCUUGUCUAGAAGCUGCAGUUUUUCUUAAAAGUACAAUUUUAAAAUCUCAAUUUCUUGGUCUCCUUUCUACCUAGUUUUAUUUCUUCUAUCCUACCUCAAGAUCCUGUUUCAAAAUUUAAAAAUGUUAUAAUAGCUAAGGAUGUAGCUUAAUGCAAAGGUCC
rnacentral:lncRNA from 1 species